rnacentral:lncRNA from 1 species
CUGAGGUACCUGCAGCUGGAUCCUUGCACCAGUGGCACGCUGGCUUGCCAGGCUAAGGCACUGUAGUUAUGCUAGCAUAUACUACAAAUGUGUUUAUUUUCUGUAUCUAGCCUUAGCAAGUCUGAACCUGAAGAGAACAAGGAAACUAACCCAUGUUCUAUGGGCAGUUUGUUAUUUUUAAAACUAUAAAGAAAAAAAGAUAAGCAUUUCAAGAAUGAGCCAGAUGCUGAGCCUGAUUUCAUGGAGUGAAAGAAGCUGUGCUAGGCCACCUUCCUCCCCAGGCCAGGAGCAAAGAAACUCUCCUGCUUCUCCCUGCAGUCCGGCUGUAGCUGCAUGGUUUGAAUUUUGCACAUAUCCAACUACCAGAAGUCCUGGAGGAAGAAAAAACACUGAUAAUAAUACCUAACCUUACAUUUACGUUUUCAUUACCACCCCCAAAAUAAGGUCAGU